GAGGGAGGAGGAGCCACGGCCCCGCCGCUCGGCCGCGCGCCGUGCAGGCGCCGUGCAGACGCCCCGCCCGCCCGGGCCCCGCCGGCUUCCCGGGACGCACUCUCCUCCCUCCCCGCCGGCGCGCGCACCCUGGACCGAGCGCGCCCUGAAUGCGCGGCGCGCUCGGUCGGACUCGGAGGGAAACCGCGGCAGAGCUCGGCUGCAGCGUGGUAAAGGAUGGCGCGGGCUCAGCAGAAAGGAAAUCAAAACGCUCCCUUCCUUCCGUGGCUUCUCCUUUCACUGUGUCGGAAGAGGUCUGCGUUGCGAGCACUCCAAGUGGAUGAAGAGCAGCUCCUGCCCCCUGCUGGCAGCCCCAGGCCCAGGGGCCUCCACCCCGCAGAGGCCUGAGCCAAGCUCGCCAUUCGCCCUGGGCUGGAUCUCAGCUCCGGAAGGAGACGUCGAGAAGAGGCUGCCAAAGAGCCUGGAGGGGCCGCUUCAGAGCAGCGCCUUGAAGAGGAAGGAGAGGGAGGCUCCACAGGAAAGUCCCAGGGCCAGAAAGAAGGUCAUGAGGGCGCCAGCCACCUCCCUCUCGUGUGGCAGCACCUGCCUAGAACACCCGGGAACAGGAGCUCUUAGAAAAUGCUGGGUCUAAAUCUGGACCCAGCUCCACUGCCCUCUCCCCAUCCAGUCUGGGCUCUGACUCAACCCCUCUGUCACCAUAACUGGCCCCUUUCUUUCCGGGCCUCAGUUUCCUGGUCUGUAAAUGAGGCUGCUGGAUAAGGAUGUCUGUCAGGGCCUCUGGGUCUAACAUGAUGGGAUUCCAGAUUCCACAGCCUGCCCUUUCCACAGUGCUCUCAGCCUGUCUGCCCUGCCAGCUUCAUUCUCUCUGGAUUCUCCACUCCAUUGCCCCUUGAGGAAAUAGCCCAUGACCUUGUUUUUGGUCAAAACCUUAGCUCUCCUUCAACUGAGAAUUUUACAGCUAGAUGGGCCCUGAGGGAUGACAGUUCAACCCAUUUUUUACAGAUGGGGAAACUGAGGCACAUUGAGGCGGCCCCAGAACCAGUGCCCGGGCUACUUGGUUGGGCAGGUGCCUCCCUAGCCCAGUUCUCCUCUCCCCUACAGUUAAGGCUUGGCCCAGCAGGGGGCGCCAGCAAGGCCUGCAGACAGCUAGGGUUGGGCUGGCGGGAAGCAGGAUGGGUCGUCCCUCCCUUGCAGACAGUCCCUUCCCAAAGACUGAACCCACCUCCCCACUCCCAGUCCCCCACCCCACCCCAUUCCCCCGGACCUGGGCGCCAGGCACAUGGUGAGGGACACCAGGUAGCCAUUAGAAACGGCAAAGAGCAGCAUGAAGGUGAUGAAGUAGGCAUCCUGCGGGAAGAGGAUGGGCAGCCGGGACCUCUGGGGCACGUGGCACAGCAUGAAGAGGGGCACAAACAGGAACCGCAGGCAGACCAGCAGGGGCAGCAGCCGGCUGUCCUCGUCUGGCUGUGGUAGAGGCUGGGGUCAGCAUGGUCCCUGGAGCCAGGUCUCUGCUCCAGGGCAUCUCAGGACACCCAUAGAGUACUUUUUUUUUUUUUUUUUUAGAUGAGUCUCGCUCUGUUGCCCAGGCUGGAGUGCAGUGGCCCUGAUCUCAGCUCACUGCAACCUCCACCUCCUGGGUUCAAGAAAUCCUCCUGCUUUAGCCUCCUGAGUAGCUGGGACUAUAGGCGCCCGCCACCACCAUGCCCAGAUAAUUUUUGUAUUUUUAGUAGAGCCGGGUUUCAUCAUGUUGGCCAGGCUGGUCUUGAACUUCUGACCUCAAGUGAUCCACCUGCCUCAGCCUCCCAAAGUGCUGGGAUUACAGGCAUGAGCCACCACACCUGGCCUCUAUUUAUUUCAUUAAAAAUGUAUGUGUGUGUGUGUGUGUGUCUGUGUACAGACAAGGUCUCACUGUGUUGCCCAGGCUGGUUUUGAACUCCUGAGCUCAAGUGAUCCUCUUGCCUUGGCCUCCCAAAGUGCUCAGAUUUUAGAGGUUUUUUUUUUGUUUUUUUUGAGACAGAGUCUCGCUCUGUCUCCCAGGCUGGAGAGCAGUGGUGCAAUCUCGGCUCACUGCAGCCUCUGCCUCCCUGGGAUUACAGGCAUGCACCACCACACCUGGCUUAUUGUUAUCUUUUUAGUAGAGACGGGGUUUCACCAUGUUGGCCAGGCUGGUCUCGAACUCCUGACCUCGCGAUCCACCUGCCUCGGCCUCCCAAAGUGCUGGGAUUACAGGUGUGAGCCACCACGCCUGGCCCACCCAUAGGAUAGAACCAUCUGUCACCCCCUGAGCUCCUCUGACCUGACUUACCCGGUGAGCCAGUGAGGGAGGACCCAGCGCUGGGGCCUGGGCCAAGUCCACCCAGCAAUCAGGGACUGACCUGGGGCUCACCUCUGCCUCUCCCAGGCUCCAGCUUGUGCUCUCCACAGCAUCUACAGUUUACAUACUUGGUUCCUCAUAGCACCCACUGGUGGUUCCACACACCCUCCUGGGGGCAGAUGGGGUUUCUGAGUGGGAUUGGAAGCUGUAGAUCAGCUCCUGUCCUGACUUGGACGAGACCAGCUCCUCUUUCACCUGCUUUAUAUAUUGUCUCUUUGGAAGAUUUCAUUUAAAAUACAGCACCAUGGCUAAAACCAACCCCAAAACUAAGACUCUUGCUCAGUCCCUCACCUGGUGCAGGAACCUCCAUGUAACAUUCUCUGAGCAGCGAAGGCUGGAUGCUGGGGACACAGAGGUCAACUGGACAUGACUUUUGCUUUCAAGGAGCUCACAGUGCAAGCCCUGGCCUGCACGCCUCCAGGGCCCAAGUGCUCCCUGCCGCUUGGCCAGUGGUUCCAUUGCCAGGCCACUUGGACUACCGGAAAAUCACCUCCAUGCUCUUUCAAGCCCUUGGAUCCCAAACUGCUUCCUAAAACAUCGGAUCACCCAGCCCUGGUGUGCUUACCCACAGGAAGUAAGAGGUCAGGCUCCGUCCCAGCCAGUCCAUGAUGUUGAAGAGGAGGAAGCAGCAGAUGGGGUUGAAGAACUGACCUGGGAGGGAAACGGCUGCAGCUCAUACUGGUCCCCAACUCCCCUCUCCCGUCCUCUCCCCUUUGUGCCCCCUGCCCUGCCGUGUUGUCCACCCCGACACUCACUCCACUUCCCGGGACUGGUGGAGCUGGUCACCAUGGCUGUGAUGGCGGGGAAGACAGACAGGGUGACUGUGAAGACCAACACAAGGCACAGCGCUGUCAGCCAGAUCUGGGAGCCAGAGGCAGGGGUGUGAGCAGGCAGGGCAGGCCCAGGGCCCUACCCUCUUGCCCAAGCCCCAUCUGGGAGCAGGACACCUGGGGCCUGGCCCAGCUGUGUCCCUGACCCACUAUGACCCUAUGACCUUGGGGGAGUCAAUGUGAGCCCCAUUCUUCCCCAGAGAUGGUGGUUGGGGGCUAUAUCCAAGCCAAACCUUCUGGAAGACAGUGAAGACUGAAGGUUUUCCUGGCUUCUGGGGCUCAUCUGGCUCUGAUUCCGGCUCCUUCUCCAGGUCAAGAUCCAGGGUCAGAGCUACCUUCUGGGGACUACUGGGAAUCCCGUUCUCAUCUGGGGUGAGGGGGGACGGGGAAGGGUCAUGCUUGUGACCCAGGUUUCCUGACAGCCAGGCCCAACGAAGGAGAUUCCCAGCAGUUAAAACAAGCGAUCCUCAGCCGGGCAUGGUGGCUCACGCCUGUAAUCCCAACACUUUGGGAGACCAAGGCGGCCAUAUUGCUUGAGCCCAGGAGUUCGAGACCAGCCUGGGCAACAUGGUGAAUCCCCAUCUCUACAAAAAUACAAAAAUUAGCCAGGCAUGGCAGCCUGCACCUAUAGUCCCAGCUGCUCAGGAGAUUGAGGCGGAUCACUUGAGCCCAGGAGGUCGAGGCUGCAGUUGAGUUGUGAUUGCGCUGCAGUGCAGCCCAGGUGACAGAGUGAGAUCCUGCCUCAAAAUAACAACAACCUCCCCCUCCAAAAAAAAAAAAAAAAGUGAUCUUCCUCCAGCCCAGGCUGCAGGCGAAGGGAAUUAAUGAUGGAAAUAUGCAUAGCUACCAGGAAGCACAUGCAUGGAUCGGGUGAUGAGUGAAGCACCUUAGAUGGAUUAUUUCAUUACCAUUGCUUUACAAAUGACACAUUGAGGUUCAGAGAGGUGCAGUGGCUAAGUGGUUUGUUUCAGGCCACACCGCUGGGAUGUUGUGAAACCAGUAUUCAAAUUCAGAGGUCUUCAGAUCCAAAGUUUGCAUGUAUGGAAGCUCUAUUGCCUCCCCAUUUUAUAGAGGUGGAAACUGAGGCCCAAACAACAGCAGGGAUGACUUUAAUCCUACCAACUUCCCUUCAUGUUCUUCCUGUUGGCACAAGGCUACUAGGGGUGGGCUCUGGCUGGGAACAGAGGGAACAGCUUCCCAGGGGAGGUGACUGUAGCUUCCUCUGCAUCUCCCACCUCCCCAGGAGGGUCUCAGGGCUUACCAGACUGGAGGAGCUCAGCUUUGGUCUCCAGCUCCUGAGCUUGGGCCUGGGAUGGUUUAUUGGCGAGGUAGUAGCGGGCAAACUUCUGCAGAAGGACAGGAAAGUGUUGGGCCUGCCUGGCUUGCCUGAGGUGUCUGGAUCCCUCCCCAUACCAUCGGCCUGGAGGCUGGGGCCCCUCAGUGUCUUCUCUGGGGGUCAGGGCUGAGACCAGGUCUCCUCCACCUCCCCUGGCCUCUCUCAGGGCCUCAGACUCAGGACUCUAUCCAAGAUGCUUUGAGGUGGGGCCUCGAGCCCAACAGCAGGCUCACCAGGUGAGGCAGGCUCAGGUAACACAUGAUGGACAUGAGGAUGCCCACACAGGGCGUGAUAAAGUACCCCAGGGCAGAGGUCUCGGCAUCCACACCACCUGCGGAGAAACUUCAGCUGCAGAAGAGAGGCACUUGGUCCCGCCAGCUCCCACAGGGCUUCCAACUCGUCCCACUUCCCAUUGUGCACUUCUUAGACCCACUCCCAGCCUCUUCCGCUUCUCCUUUCACUGACAAAUGGGAAUCUUGUGCAGGGCCCCCAGAGCAGCCCUGCACUUCUCUCACUUUCCCCUAUGUGUCAUUUUUGUUGAGCACAUACUAUGUGCCAGGAGCCUUCUCUUAUUGCAUGCUCAUUACAAUCUGAGCAGGGAGCUAUACCAAUCACGUCGGUGGGGAAACCAGCACAGAGAGGUGACAAGCCCUGUCUAACGCCCCUAGCUGGUAAGCGGUGAAGCAGAUUCAAACCCAAAACUAUCUGAAUCCCAAACCCAUCCCUUCAUCCUUCAACUUCAACCUGCUGCCACAUGCCAGUAUUAGCCCCAGGAAUCCUGCCCCUGUCCCUGAGUUAACCCAGUCCUCACUUGGUUACUACUCCUCACUGCAGGGCCCAUGAGCCCCACUCCCUAGCCCCAGACCCAAUCCCCAUUUCCAUAUCACCCGCUUGCCUCCAUCUUCACCCAGAACCCAUGUGUCUUGCUCUCACAUGCCCUCUCUGUUCCCCAAACCUCAGAGGCCACCCCAGCCCUCUAGCUACCCAAGUGCACUCACUGGCCAUGGACAGGAGCAUGGCAAGGGCAGCAAAGAUCCCAGCCAGGCCCUGGCCGCUGAGGAAGAGGGUGCUGUAGGUGGAGGGCAUGGUGCCCAGCUGCCCGAAGAGGCUGCCCUGUAGGACUGCACUGAAGGCUGUGGAGGACAGGGAUGGGGGCUGCUGCUCAACUAGGCAAGACUCAGAGGCUCCCUGGAGGAGGUGCCGGCAGGAUACACAGGGGACUCUGGGCACUCGGGGGCAACACCCGCCAUUCAGCCCUCUUCUGAGGUGCAGCCAUUGGUCUGUGGGGCUGCUGACCAGGAGGCCUGCUCCUAGGUCACCGGACAAGUGACUCUUCCCCUCCCUGUGGGCCUCAGUUUCUUCACCAGGGAUAUGAGCAACCAUGAUGCUGUCUGCCCUUCUCAGAUAUGCUGGGCCCUUUCAGUGAUGAGGCCAGGUUGAAGCCCUGCAUGGGCUGGCUGGGGAGGGGGUGGAGGUGCUCACAGUUGAUGAAGCAGACGGAGGCCAUGGUGAUGGAGAAGAAGGGUCCGGGGCUCAUGUCCACCUUGACCAGCGCUGCCGUCAGGGCAAAGAGCAGCAGUAUGGCCAGCAGGCUGCCCAGAAUGCGCACCGUCUCCGGGACGCUGCUCAGAAGCAGGCAGAGUGGAUCAGUGGGGCCCAGGCCAGAGGGGGCUGGGGAAGGAGGCUCGACACCUGGGGCUGGGCAGUAGGGCUUGGGGGCAGGGGGCGCAGGGGAGGGCCUCAAUGAAGCUGCCUCGGCAGGGGGCGCAGGAGCCAGGGUAGGCCUCUCACCACUGGUACAGGAAGGAGUUGAGGAAGGUGAAGAGCAGCAGGGGCAGCUGGGACAGCAGCGUCACCCAAUUGUUGAAGUUGAAGGCAUCCUCGGGGCCCGUGUGGUUGGUGCUCAGGAUCCUGGCUGUGCUGUUGCUGGCCCCAGCCAGUCGCGCCUGGAAGUACUGCCAGGUGGGGAGGUGGUGGAGGGUCAGUACCCCUCAGCCUUCCCCCGCUGCCUUCCCCCUCACUUGUGAUUGCUUUCUAAUGUCUGUGGGGACUUGUCUGCCUUGUCCUUGUUCUGUUCCCAGCACCCGGCACACAGUCAGAGCUCCAUGAAUGUGCACUGUUAAAUGGCUGAAGUCUGGGACACAGCCCAAGCAUUAAGAUCCCCCAGCAAGAGCCUCGAUCCAGCAUUGGACGGCCCUUCCUCUUCAGUGCCCUGGUUCCAGCCCCCAUCCCUACUCCUGCAGCCGCUGCUAGAUUCAUUCAUUCCACGGGGCCCAGCACAGAGCCAGUACCCAAGAAGCAUUUGCAAAGUUGUUGCAGUGAAUACAGAUGAAUAACCCGGUCCCAAAGACAACGCAAACCCCACAUUUCUGCCUUCCCUGAAGAGCCUCCCUGCUGUUUCCUCCUGUGUCCCCAGUGCCUGCUCCACAGUAGGUGCACAUUAAAAGUUUGUUGAAUGAG